AUUGAACGCUGGCGGCAUGCCUUACACAUGCAAGUCGAACGGUAACGGGCCUUCGGGUGCCGACGAGUGGCGAACGGGUGAGUAAUGCAUCGGAACGUGCCCGAUCGUGGGGGAUAACGAGGCGAAAGCUUUGCUAAUACCGCAUACGAUCUACGGAUGAAAGCAGGGGACCGCAAGGCCUUGCGCGGACGGAGCGGCCGAUGGCAGAUUAGGUAGUUGGUGGGAUAAAAGCUUACCAAGCCGACGAUCUGUAGCUGGUCUGAGAGGAUGAUCAGCCACACUGGGACUGAGACACGGCCCAGACUCCUACGGGAGGCAGCAGUGGGGAAUUUUGGACAAUGGGCGCAAGCCUGAUCCAGCCAUGCCGCGUGCAGGAUGAAGGCCUUCGGGUUGUAAACUGCUUUUGUACGGAACGAAAAGCCUUCUUUUAAUACAGGAGGAUCAUGACGGUACCGUAAGAAUAAGCACCGGCUAACUACGUG
rnacentral:rRNA from 1 species